AAGGGGUGGUUGGAAGUCCCUCUUGGGGACUCAGGUUUUUGGGAGGGCUGUUGUGUUUCUGUAUUACCUUUUCCCUUGUCUAUUUCUGUCUAUAACUGCAUGGACUGUAAAUCUCUGCUUGUGUAUGCUGCUAAGCUGUAAAUAAAAGCUUCAUUCAAUUCCCAGAACCGGCUGAGUCUAGUCUGGGUGAUUUCCAAAGUGUGAGGGGGCAAGGAACACCCAAACCACCACAUCCUGAAAGGAUUUAGAUAACCUCUUUAAGCAUUUUGGAAGGGUUUUGAACACAAACGUUCAGGCAUUGUGGUGGAGCCCCUGGUGCUGCACUGGCUUUGAACUGUGGGAAGCUCUGCCUGCACUUGGGCAUUGAUGUGGUUACUCAGGUGGCACAGAGAGUGGCACUGCAGAAUCAUUAUCCUCCUUUGUGUCCUCAUUGUUCUUGUUCUUCCUUCUCUUUCUCUCCCUGAGACUGCACUUCAGCUCCUCCAAACUUGUUAUCCAGGGUAUUCUCCUCCAGGCUCGCAUCCAGGGGCCACUGUCUGGCCAUGCUGGCGCGCUAGAUCAGUUCUGGGGACCUGAUGGCUUCCUGGGGACUCUUGCGGACACAGAGGCACAGCAGUGACUCCUGUCCCCCACCAGAACAGCCUCACAGAAGGACCGAGACAGAAGAUGGGAGAAGCAGAACCAUCCAGGAAAUAAGAUGGAGCAGCCAAAGUAUUGUAAGAAAGAGGGAGAGGACAAAAUGGAGGAUCACAACGAGGUGGAAAUUGAUGGCUCUGGUGAUGACAAAUAUGAGGAGAAAGAGGAUGAUGAAAAUGAAGAUGACCAAGAAGAGGAGGGGGAUGAAGCCAUGGGCAAACUUCACAGUUCUGCAGACCGCAGCAAGAGCUUCAGCAACAGGAGCUCUCUGAUCGUCCAGCAUCGCACCCAUACUGGUGAGAAGCCUUUCACCUGCCCUGACUGCAGCAAGAGUUUCAGCGAGAGCACUGCCCUCACCCGGCACCGCCACAUCCACACUGGUGAGAAGGUCACCUGCCCCGACUGCGGCAAGCGCUUCAGCCGCAUUGACACCCUCCGCAACCACCGCCGCAUCCACACCGGAGAGAAGCUGUUCCCCUGUGCUGAGUGCGGCAAGAGCUUCACCCUGAGCACCACAUACAUCCAGCACCAAUUCGUCCACAGCGGUGAGAAACCCUACAGCUGCACCGACUGCGGCAAGAGCUUCACCUUCAGCUCCGCGCUGGCUUCCCACCGUCGUGUCCACACUGGACUUGUGCUGUUGGAUCUGCGCCGUGGGAUCCUCCCACUGAUCUGUGCCAUUGGGACCUGCACGGCUGGACUGCGAGACCUGUGCCACGAGACCCAUGCCGCUGAUUCAAUGAUGACCUGCUGGACCCCCUCCCGACCCGACCCCCAUCCUGCUGCGACAGCAAAGCUGUUUUUCUGAAGAGAAAAAGAUUCUGCCGAGCGGAAGGAAGGCGGCAAAGUGGGCACUGAUCCCCACCGGCUGCAGCAGCAAAGUGUGAGAAGAUGCCAGUUGCAGAGGCUACCGGAUGGGUACCAUCAGCAUCCUACACUGAAAGAAUCUAUGAGAGAAUCUACAGUACAUGAGCACGAACCCAAUGUCACGUGGGAGUCCCUGUUCUGGUCUCACCUGUGAGGAGACAAACUGUUCUGAGCUUUUGAAUCACCUACAUCUGAGAUAGCUGGAAUGAAGUGUGAACUGACCUUGCUGAUAUCCAUUAGUGUAAAUAUUGGUUUAGAUUAGAUCAGAUAAUUCUCAGCGAUCCUCUGAGUGAAGUAGACAGGGGUGGAUUGUGCUAGUUUGAAGCAGGGUAGAAUGGUUUGGUGAGAAAAAGUAGACCAUAGGCUGUGAAAAGGAAAACAGUGGUGAUGUCUGUUUCCCUCAGAGUUUCGCUGAAGAAGAAUGUAAGCAUUAGAUAGCACUCUUGGGCUGGGCUUUGACUGAGCUGCAUCUCCCUAACAUCUCCUGCCACUCAUCUUUGCUUCUUAACCUCUUGGCUGAACCUCUAUUCUUCUUUAGGUCUGGGGUGAGGUUGAGAGAGGCAGGGGGAAGGUGCAGGGGUGGUUGAGAGCCUCUCCUGGGGACUCAGGUUUUUGGGAGGGGAGUUGUGUUUCUGUAUUACCUUUUACUUUGUAUUUUUCUGUCUAUAACUGUAUCUACUGUAAAUAUCUGCUUGUAUAUUGUGCUAGCUGUAAAUAAAUAGCUUCAUUUAUAUUCUCA